UUCGUAAAGCUUAUAUAAUGUCUUCAACUAAUUGUGUGCCGUCCAGGCAUUGGGAUAGUGCUUCUUCUUUUUCUCAACUGAUCACUUCAUCCUCCUUGUUUUGUUGGCUACCCCCUCUCUUUGGCACACUUAAAAUGAAUUUUGAUGCAUUCGGUUGUCUCCCAUCAAGCGGCAGCUGCUUAUGUUAUCAAGAACUAUCAAGGGACAUUUUGCAAUCUAGAGGUAAAAAAUUAUUACCUUCUUAUAUUCCUUUUGUAGAGUUAACCGUUGCCUGGUUGGAGGUUAAGGCUACUGUUCAGAAAUUUCAAGCCACUCAUAUUUGGAUUGAAGGGAAGCUAAUAAGUUAGCUAAUUAUAUGGCUUGAAAAGCUAUUUUUGGAGAUUUUAAGUGGGAAAGAGGGGAUGCUUUGCAUCCAUCUGCGUGUUAAUCCUUAAUGCUGAUUGUUAUCAGGUUGGUUUUCAGAAACAACUUUAAUUUUCACAUGUGUUCUCAAUAUAUAAUGGUGUUAAGCUUGUGCUGCAUGGUGUGCCAAUUGCACCUAGUUUAUGUGCCAGUUAACAUGCCACCAUACAGGAUGUCUGUAAUCGUACUAAUGCAUGGUCUCUAUUUGAUGUUUCAAGUUAUAUGCGCAGCAUGUUGUGCCACACCCUAUGCCAUCUACUGUGCCAAUGCCAUGUCUUCUGUUGUUGGUCUAUGUAUCAGUGUUCUGCUAAUUCAUUAUAUCUUCUAACUUAUGCUGUGGUUUAUAUUUGCUGCUAUGUUAUUUACUGGUAUAAUUGUUUAAGGGUGUUUAACAAUACCAGGCUCUCUCCUCUGCAUAUUAUUCUAUGGGUCUUUUUUGUAUGCAGCUUUUGUAUGUAUCCUACUUGUGGUAGUAUACACAAUAUCUUAUUAUGGUGUGGUAUAGAACUUGGUUGCUUCUUGCCUGUUCUGCCACUUCUCUAAGGCUAACUGUACGUAUUCUCCUCUAUGGUCCAAAGGUAUAUGUUCAAUGUCUUAAUAGCUAUUGAUGAUCACUUCUACUCCAUGGAUUAGUUUUUUAUACAACUACUAUGGGAUCAGCUUAUCACUGCUUUAUCCUCGGCAGCUUUAUCGUCCAAUCAGCUGCAGAUUCAAGGCCUUAUUUCCUACUGUGUGGGACAGUCAGACUCUCUUAUCAUACUAAUUAUUUUUCUCAGGAACAGCAAGGCAUCUGCUUAUUAACUAUCUUCUAUUAUGGUCAUGCUUCCUUUAGUCCUACAUCCAUGAGUCCAAGCCACAUGCAAUUUGAUCCCUUAUCAAGCCUAUAUUCAGAACUCUUCAUCUCUCAGGUUAUACUUGCUAUUCGGUGCUCACAACUCAGUCUGCACUAUCAAAUAGUACAAGCCAUCUUGUUCAAGCUUAUUCUGGAUGGUUGGAUCUCAGUUGCUUAUUUACUGCUCCAUGUCAAAUUGGAAAUUUUCUAUUAUCUUAGCCAACUUUCUUUAUCAGCCCUUAUUGCUUCAGGUUGUUUUGGGGCUCUGUCACUUCCAUAGAUUCAUGAAUAUGCCCACUUCAUGGUUUUGCCAUUCACAUAUAAGUAUGCUCAGUUGCAAGUCUACGGCACUAUCUUUUAUGUAUCACUAUAUGUAUUUUUUUUGACUUUAGUUGUGUACAUCAACUUCUCUUUAACUGUAUACUUUUCCUUUGUGGCUCUAUCU